AAGGUAGAGAUUGAAGAAACAAUAGAGUUGAGUUUGAACAAUUAAAUGAUUUAAUUGUUAAUGGCUAGGAUUCAUUAAUAUGUUAAUUAUUCAAACGAAUAAGUUCGUUUUAGACCUUGGGUUAGUUUUGGGCCUCAAGGCCCAAUGGGCUUCGAAUGUCAACCCCAUUGACUUAAGUUGUAUGACAACUUAAUAAAUAAAGAUUCAAGAGGGCCCAACCAGCCCAAAGACCAUAGAAGGCCGGCCAUAUUGAUGAAAUAGGGUUUUGGUUCUUUUUGUCACUUAAGUGAAGUGACUAUAUAAAGAACUUUAUAGCCAAAAUUCAUAAAGGGUUAUUUUAGAGGAAAUUGGAUAGAACAAGUCUCUCCCUUUCUCUCUAGGAGGCGGGCCCCUUUGAGGAGAUUACCUAGCAAUCUUCCCUCCUCCAAGGUUACUCUCUUCUUCUAGUCUCUCCUUGGCAUGGAGACUUAGAGGUUAUCUAUUUUGGCAACUUGGAGAAUCCAUUCUACCACCCUCAUCCAAGAAAUCCAUGGAGCUAAGAAGUAAGGAAUGAAGGCCCUAUCUCUUGGGUGAUUAGCCUUUUCUUAUGCAAAGAGGAAUCAACAAAGGUAUAAUAUUUCUCAACUCACUUUGUUCUUGAGUUGAGUCUUGAUUCACCACACUCACUUGGCCUUGAAUUUCAUGGGUAAAGUUUUGUUUUUGAGUGCAUACAAGCAUGAUUCCACCUUUUAAUUGUUAAUUGCAUGCAUAGAUGUUACUCAAAUGAACUAGUUUUCUCAAAUAUUUCCUUCAAGUGGUAUCAGAGCCUAGGUCUAGUAGUUGGUGAAUGCUUUUGGGUUUUGUAGUUAAUAGUCUUUGAUUUGAAUGUUGUAAUGGUUACAAGCUUUAUUCUUGCUUCUUUGAAUGUAAAUUGUGUUAGAAAAUUUGUCAUCUCAAAUGUUGUAGAUGUAGUUCAUAUGAGCAUGAAUUUUGGAGAUAAAAUUUGGUGCCAUGUUUAUAGGGAAAUUCGGCCAAAUCCAAAGGGUGGAUUUUUGGGUUCAUUUUUGUCUUGUUAAAAGUGUUUUAAAGUGACUUUUGGAACCCCUAAGUACCCUAGGAUGUUAACCCCCUUUUGAGUAGUGAAAAUUUGAGCUUUAUUGAGUGAAAACAUUCAUGGAGCUCUUAUGGGUUUUUCAUGGAUGUUCUUCAAUAUUCUUGCUUUGUUCAUACCAAGAACAAAAAGUUUGGUGAUUUAAUUCAAUUUUUUGGUUGAUUACAUAAAGUCUUUGUUUUGUGUUGGUUGGUAUGACUUUUCAAUCAACAAGACAUUUUUUUUAAAGGUGAUUGGAAAGUUGAGUGUUUGAAAUGAUGUUAGUCAUAGUUGGUGUGUACUUUGCUUUCACACCCAUACCUAUUUUAUUUCAACACCUUAACUAUUUUUCAACUUACUUGACUUUGUCUUUUGUCAAAAACCACUCCCUCACACUACCAUGACCGGCCACCCUAUUAAAGUAGGGUACUUUUGGGGUUUUUAUACAAUUAAUUAAAGUUUUGAUACUUUAUUGUAUUUGCACAUUAACCCGAAAGUUUACGUUUUUACGUAAAGGCCUAAAAACACUAAAGGACAAAUUGUUUUGCUCCUUUAAUGAAGUUUUUGCAUUUGUUGAAAUUUUUGGGUUCUAGUUGUAAUUACAUGAAGUAGUGGACUUUUAUGUUUUUACAAACUGACCUCAAGAGUUUUGUGUUUUGCAAUAUAGCCUAAAAAGUUGAGGUUAUUGCAUUUUGGCCCAAAUUAGUUAAGAACAAAAUAGUUUUGUAUUUUUAAAUGAGAAUUGGAUUUUCAUUUCAUUUAGCUCUAUCUAAAUCAAUUCUAUGGAUACAUAAACUAAAUGACAAUGUUGCAUUCAAGUUUAAUUAGUUAAAGCGUUAAUUAAUUAAAGAAAGAGUGAUUAUGAACAUAAGCCUAUGAUAAUGGAGCUAUGUGAAAUGCCGUCUCUCAAAUUUGUUUGAACCAUGAGAAUGUGUAGAUUAGAUUUUGGUUGUAAUUUGAUAUGAUCAAAUAUUGUAAAAGAGCUUAAGCUCUUCUUUACUUUAAAGUAAUUUGUUUUGAUCAAAUGUUGUAAAAGAGCAUAAGUUCUUCUUUACUUUGAAGUACUCCUUUCUUGUGUUUAUUUGAUAUGCAUGAAAUUGGAGUAGUAGGGUCCAACGCCCAAUAAGAAAACAUGACUUAAUGUGAUUAAACGCAUAACUAAAAUCAAUCAUCAUCCCUAGACCGAGAUCCAACACUAGGCUCGUGUUGGAUCGAAUCAAAGGUUCAUAGUCAUCCUAAGGCCCUAUGGAAACUAUAUAGUCCAUCAAUGAAUGCAAAGCUUAUGUUAGUAAUACCAUAUAUUAUUGCUUUAAAAACCGUUUUACAAGCAUAGUGGGAGUAUCAUAUACUACUAAAUCAAUCACAUGAACCAAUAGCUGUAAUAAGACCAAAUUGUUUUAAUAGGAUUAAAAUGCAUGAUAAUAUGUGAUGAGACCUAAAAACCCUCAACCAAACAAUUAUUAAGUUGACAAGCGUGAGAGUGCUAUGAACACUUUCAUGGCCUUCCACCGUGGUAGGCUUCGAUCGUUUGUGACUCGUACACUGACUUCACCCUAUCAUGGGGGAGUACAAAGUGCGUGCUUACACUCAGGAGGAGUCAUAUACGCAUACAUGAUGUUGUGAAGAUAGGCAAUGAGAAUGAUCAACAUCAUAUCAUUGUGAGGUUGUUCUUGAACCCCUACCCGAACUUGUAUGGUGGGAAUGACUUAACUAAGUGCAAUGGAGCCAACAUCAUAUCAUUGUGAGGCAUCAUUCUCUAGAGGCCAAAUAAGAUGGGUACUUGCAAGAGAUGCAAAUGAGUAUGCGUACUCUCUCAUUAUUGUUGAUGCUAGCCAACAUCAUAUCAUUGUGAGGUGGGCUUGGUAAUAGUGAGCCUCACAUACCCUACUAAGAAUUUCCUCCAAAACUCUCGAAUUCUGAUAAGAGAAAUGGAAUUUGACAAAAAUAGUGGGUGGCGCUAUUUGAUUUAAAGACUGGGAUCAAAUGGCUUAAAAUCAAUCAAGAUAUAUUUGUUAUGUAUUUGUUUACCGAUAUAUUUGCAAACGCUAUCCAAAACUUGAUAAAGAAAAGCCAAAGGCUUUAGUUUCCGAACCUGGUGCCACAAUCCCAUAGAUUGUCUUGAAUGGAUUGUAUAUGUACCUAAGUAGUCUCAUCCUCACAAUCUUCCUAUUGAUAAUGUAUCAUUGGAAGAAGAUGUUAGAUAAGUCUAUCAUAAGGAGGACAACAUUUUUAGUGUCAUAAUUCUUCCUUUACAAAUCGUUGUAUGAAGAAAUAAGAGUUGCUUUGAACAACCCUUAGUUAACAUAAACACUAGUGCUUGUUUCUUUGUUAAAUGAACAAGGAACUUGAGAAGUAAGGACAAGGGCAUGGACACUUUAUGUGCCAUGAUUCUUCACUUACAAAUUGAUCAUACACCAUGUAAGGUAGAGAUUGAAGAAACCUACUGGAUCGUACCUCGGGACCAACCAGAUUAACUAGAUCGACUGGAUUAUCCGGCCUGUGGUCCAUUUCUACUGGAGCAGUGGCGGCUGAAAUAAGAGGCCAGGGAAUCGAACGGGGUGCAUUCAACACCACCUUAUGACUUCUAAUUAGAUGCGACAUAUGCCCAAUAAGAAGAUACUAAAUUGCUCUCUCGACUGUUGGUUGUACAAGCAACCAGUCAUAAUCCUUCUAAAACUUCUAUAGUAUUUAUCAAAUUAAUCAUAUAAGCUUUUCCCAUUUAUAGUAGAAACUUUAAAAAAUAAUAAAUAAAAAGAAUAACACUGAAUCAAGGACAUAAGAAAAAUUCUAGUUCUAUUGGAAAUUUGUACAAUAAAGUUUUGUGUUAAAGAAGAAAAACAGUGUAUCAAUUAUGAAAGAAAGAAGGCACAUAGGGUUUAAGCCACAAAAGCCUACUUACUAGAUGCAUCCAAGUAAAUCAGCCAUUUAUACCUUAAGGAGGUUUUCAGGGAACUGGUUUCACAAGACUUUGAAAACAAGCAUCAUAGUUGUUUGAAUUAAAAUCAAGCAACUACAAUAGUAAAAACAAGCAGAUUCACCAUCAACUCAUUAAAUUAAAAUUAGCAUAGUAGUUUGAAUCUUAGCGUAAGAAAGAUGGAAUGCCAAAUGGCCAACUAAAAGGACUAUAUUAACUGGAAAAUGGCCAACUCAAAGGACCAUAUUUGCUAGAAAAUCGCCAACAAAAAGUAGCAAGGACUUCCAUUUAUUCUCAGUCUAGAGAAGUAUGCUUCAUGUAUGACAAUAAGUUGGAUAAAGUUGAUAUAAAUAUGAUGGAUGCUCAUAUUACAAUUCUAGUUCUGAAGCCUCAUGAUGAAAUUCGUAUAUAAUUGGGAAAGUUCCACUUAAGUAGACAUACCUAAUAUACACAAGUAAGAAAGAAGAAAGCUCACUUUAUACUUUUUAUCUUUUUUUUUUGUUAGGGCAAAAUGUGCAUAACACCAUUGGGUGUGACCAUAUAACAAUGCACGGAUAUAACAAAUGAUGAGGAAUAAAGCAACACAAAACUUUAUUAAAAAAAGCAACACGAAUAUGAACAUGUAUUUCAUCCUUGUGUUCAAUCAAUUAGUAGCAUUCUUUGCCCAAGUGUUCAAUCAGUUAAACUAAAAAUAUAACAAUGCAUGAAUAUGACAGCUUGUAAAACAUGUAUUUCAUCUUUCUUGAAAGGAUAGCAAACCUUAUUAAAGAAAGCAAUUGCAAUAAGAAUUAGUUCGGAAUCAAAUCAACACAAUACAAACAUAGCAUCCUUAUCUUUACCCCCCAAUAUAACUAAACACUAAAGCAGCCCUUUAUAAUUAUAGUGAAUAACGUAGUAGGACUCCGUACAUGUUUGUACAAUUCAUACACAAAUGAACAGAACGACUUAAUCACUAGUGAAAAAAUCAUAACCAUUGAAGUGCUUUGAUCAUGCUUAAUAGUAGUAGCAUCUACUAUAUUGAUUUCACAAUUAGUGACAAGCUCAAACUUUAACUCUUCUAAUCAGCAUUUACAUUCCCAAUAACCGACAUCAAGAAUUUUAACACAACUUAUGCUUAUUUACAAUUUUAAAAUCCUUUAGUAAGUUAGAUAGUGCUUCAACCAUUAAAGAUCGUUGAACUGUACAACAAACAUCACCCAAUGUCCACCUCAAAACAGGCAAAUUGAAUUGUAGCUCAAAUAUAACAAUGUGAUCAAUGUUAUCUUCACCCAAUCUCCACUAUACUUGAUAGACACAAAAAUGAUUCUAUCCCAAACUAUUGUCAAGAAGACAAAAUUUAAAAGAAAACUGAAAUAAACCCAUUGAAUGCACAAAAUUCAAGAUGAACCAAGGUGGAAAAUAAAAGUGUAGCUAAAUAGAUUCAAGUGUUUUACAAAAAAACAACUCAACAACAUAUUACAGUCAAAGAAAAAUUAGUACCCUUCUCAAACCAACUGCUAAUGUUGAUAUGACCAUAUUGCAGUUAAAUAUGUUUGUUAAAUUAAACUCAAACAACUCAAAGGAAACCCUUCUCAAACCAAUUGCUAAUG
rnacentral:lncRNA from 1 species